UUUGGCAAUGGUAGAACUCACACUGGUGAGGUAGUCAGAUCCGGUGGUUCUAGACUUGCCAACUA
rnacentral:pre_miRNA from 3 species